rnacentral:rRNA from 1 species
UAAGGUCAAGUAGAAAAGGGCGCACGGUGAAUGCCUAGGCACUAAAAGCCGAUGAAGGACGUGACGAACUACGAAAAGCUUCGGGGAGCGGUAAGUACGCAGAGAUCCGGAGAUAUCCGAAUGGGGGAACCCAAUGCAGCGAUGCAUUAUUGAUUGAUGAAUAGAUAGUCAAUCAAAGGAAUACGCAGUGAACUGAAACAUCUAAGUAGCUGCAGGAAGAGAAAGAAAGAUCGAUUUCCUUAGUAGCGGCGAGCGAAGAGGAAAGAGCCCAAACCAAGUGAUUUAUCAUUUGGGGUUGUAGGACUGCGACGUGGUAGCGUGAGUGAUAGCAGAAUUAUCUGGGAAGGUAAGCCAGAGAGGGUGAGAGCCCCGUACGUGAAAUUGCAAGCGCGCCUAGCAGAAUCCUGAGUAGGCCGGGACACGAGGAAUCCCGGUUGAAACCGUGAGGACCAUCUCGCAAGGCUAAAUACUAAUUAGUGACCG